GACGAACGCUGGCGGCGUGCCUAAUACAUGCAAGUAGAACGAGUUGCGAACGGGUGAGUAACGCGUGGUAACCUGCCUCAUAGCGGGGGAUAACUAUUGGAAACGAUAGCUAAUACCGCAUACCAUCAGAUGUGCCCAGAGGGGAUUAGCUAGUGGGUGGGGUAACGGCUCACCAAGGCGCCGAUCCCUAGCUGGUCUGAGAGGUGGACCAGCCACACUGGAACUGAGACACGGUCCAGACUCCUACGGGAGGCAGCAGUGGGGAAUAGUGCACAAUGGGCGCAAGCCUGAUGCAGCCAUGCCGCGUGUAUGAAGAAGGCCUUCGGGUUGUAAAGUACUUUCAGCGGGGAGGCGUUACCCGCAGAAGAAGCACCGGCUAACUCCGUGCCAGCCGCCGCGGUAAUUC
rnacentral:rRNA from 1 species